UGGGGAAUAUUGGACAAUGGGCGAAAGCCUGAUCCAGCCAUGCCGCGUGUGUGAAGAAGACCUUUUGGUUGUAAAGCACUUUAAGCGAGGAGGAGGCUACUUAGAUUAAUACUCUAGGAUAGUGGACGUUACUCGCAGAAUAAGCACCGGCUAACUCUGUGCCAGCAGCCGCGGUAAUACAGAGGGUGCGAGCGUUAAUCGGAUUUACUGGGCGUAAAGCGUGCGUAGGCGGCUUUUUAAGUCGGAUGUGAAAUCCCUGAGCUUAACUUAGGAAUUGCAUUCGAUACUGGGAAGCUAGAGUAUGGGAGAGGAUGGUAGAAUUCCAGGUGUAGCGGUGAAAUGCGUAGAGAUCUGGAGGAAUACCGAUGGCGAAGGCAGCCAUCUGGCCUAAUACUGACGCUGAGGUACGAAAGCAUGGGGAGCAAACAGG
rnacentral:rRNA from 1 species